GGGCGCAGAAAGAGCGCAGAAAUUUGCGGAGUCUCCAUUUUCUUUCAGCCAUGAAGGAGAGCAGGUUCAUCUUUUUCAGCCAAAACACCAACAGUGUGGAUUUGAUUUGAUUUGAUUUGAUUUGAUUUGAUUUGAUUAGUAAAUAUUUAUAUUUUCAUUUUAAACCUUUUGAACCAUCAAACUGAAGCUGUUUAUAAAGGAUCCCAACAGAAGAGGCUGAUCAGUUGGAGAGGCUCCUUCCUCAACAUAAUCCAGCAGCCUUCAGCUACAGAUCAGAGCUUCUCCUGUCUGCUUAUUGAAGCUUCUGUAAAGAAGUUCCACCCAGAGGCUCAUAUUCUCCAUCAAUAUCUGAAACAAUGAGUUUAAACAACGAGUUUAAACUGAACCAACAUGAUCCAGAGUGUGAGUCUAACCAGCAGCACAUCCCCUCUGCCCUGCUCUCAGCUCAGCUCAGGCCCAGGAAGCCUCCUUCCUGCUCAGCAAUGGCUCCCCCUAUCCACCUCUCCAUUAUUUCCUUGUUAGUGCACAGCCCAGCCUCUGGGCCUCCCCACCAAUAACCACCACAAAUACAACCAAAUACACCAGAAAACUUCACUUUUCCUCUCUAAAUGUUGGCUACAGAGUCUGUCUUUGCCUCCCAGCCAACAUUAUGUGCCACAGGCUCCAACACAUCAGAGGAUU